GCUUUUCCCAAGGAUCCACUCUUAGUCCGCCUAUCACAAAGGAGGCUAUGUUGCAUAUUGAGAAGUUAGCUGAUAUCAAAGCAGUAGCUCAGGGGAGUUAUACACAAUUGGAAUUCUCCAAGUUUUGUUUCGCGCAUCAUCUCAUAUCUUAGAGAGGAGAUUGAUUGGAGAGGGGAGUGAAGAAAGUACCCCCUAAAAUACUUCACUCCAAUUUGACCAUCUAAAGGACAUAAUGGUGCACCAGUUCUGGCAUUUGUAUUGACUUGUAUCUUUGCAAAGAGGAGAAUUGAACAUGCAAUCUUUCAUUUGUUCUUUCUGCUACCGUGGGAUUGAAAAGGACUCUCGUUCAGUUUACUGAAACAUAACACUUUAAGAGGCAAAAUCGGGCUGAUUCUCCAUGACGGAGUGCAUGCCGCUCUUAGGAAACCUUGUGCUGCUCCAUUGAGGAGAUCUCCAACGGUUUCUUUCGCAUCACCAGGCGCCCGUGUCGACGGUGGAGGAGAGUGGAUUCACGUCCGUGAUAGCGACUACUUCGGCAUGGGUGAGGGCUUCACUGCGGCCACCGCAGUCGACGUGUUUGAUGUGGGAACGGGAAGCUGAUUGGAGGAUGAGGAUGCCGGCUAUGUUUGUCGACAUGGGCGAUAGGUGCGCCGAGGGCUCAGGUCCAUGGGAGUUUCCUAAGCUCCGAUAGCAUGCUGGAUAACAAUAAUGGAUGCACGUCUGGUGAUUUUGUUGAUCCCUCGGAUGGUUCUGUAACGAAUGGUGGUAAUCAGGGAGAUGUGGUUGUUGGUGCAGAGGUUGUCGAUGGUGUAGUUAUCGAGCUUCCCAUUGGUGCCACACUAUGGAACGAAUGAUCAUGCACAUUGUGGAUGUUUCGUAGUGGAAUGCUGGAGAUCCCGAGCUAGAUGUUGCAAAAUUGGCUCUUGGAGUGAAUUCUACGGAAGAAAAUGCUGGUCUGAUAACGUGUCGAAACUUGAUGUGGGUGAAUCAGUUCUCGGGGUGACUCAUACAAAAGAAUGAUGCUGUUUGACCUUAAGUUUCAUUUUGUGACAUUGCCUUUUCUUGCCAUGGCUUGUGUGAAACCUGCAGUUUGAAGAUGGGUAGAACAACCAUGUUCAAUAUUUUAGAACAACCAGGUUUAAUAUUUUUGUGACUUGUACUUUGCUACCACAUGUUAUUUUUAGGUUUACUAUUUUCA